GCCGGGGUGGUGGAACGGUAGACACGGCGGAUUCAAAAUCCGCUGCGCACGAGCGCGUGAGGGUUCAAAUCCCUCCCCCGGCACCG
rnacentral:tRNA from 1 species